GUGAUUAUCGUGAAUAAAAACCUCGACUUCGUCUCGGUUUUUAUUCACCGAUAAUCACCUCGCCUUCGGCAAAUAAUUGUUAAAUAAUGUCUGGUAAAACCAUGACACAUGCAUUCAUGAUUAAUUGCGUGUUCUUUUGUUGUGCACUGCUUUAAUUAGGUACAGAGGUGAGAAUAUGUGAUUUCGACCGACAAUUUUUAUUGUUCUCAUAUUCGUUCCUUUUUGCUCAGAAUGACACAAAAACAUGUCAUUGAACUGCUGAGAGCCUGAUCUUUAUGACUAUAUGCAAAAAUUACGUUACACCUCGUAGGUAACGCACUAUGACAUGCCAAAGUUGGAUUACCUUUUUUUUAUACAUGCACCCUAUAUUUAAUAAUUAUUUUACUUAAUAUUUCAUUUUAUUUUUUUUUAUUUUAUCACCUCGGGUAAUAUUGCACUGAAUCCCCCUCGCUCCAGGUCUAUAUAAAUGAUAAAUAUAUCUAGUCCUUGUCAAAAACGUUGUCCUGUGCAAUAUAGAUAUUUAUAAUAUAGCAUUUGUAAAUUCUGAAC